AUUGAACGCUGGCGGCAGGCUUAACACAUGCAAGUCGAGCGGGGAUAGGGUGCUUGCACCUGAUUCCUAGCGGCGGACGGGUGAGUAAUGCUUAGGAAUCUGCCUAUUAGUGGGGGACAACAUUCCGAAAGGGAUGCUAAUACCGCAUACGCCCUACGGGGGAAAGCAGGGGAUCUUCGGACCUUGCGCUAAUAGAUGAGCCUAAGUCGGAUUAGCUAGUUGGUGGGGUAAAGGCCUACCAAGGCGACGAUCUGUAGCGGGUCUGAGAGGAUGAUCCGCCACACUGGGACUGAGACACGGCCCAGACUCCUACGGGAGGCAGCAGUGGGGAAUAUUGGACAAUGGGGGGAACCCUGAUCCAGCCAUGCCGCGUGUGUGUUGAAGGCCUUUUGGUUGUAAAGCACUUUAAGCGAGGAGGAGGCGCUCUAGGAUAAUACCCUAGAUGCGUGGACGUUACUCGCAGAAUAAGCACCGGCUAACUCUGUGCCAGCAGCCGCUGUAAAAC
rnacentral:rRNA from 1 species